CUUACCAUGCAAGUCGAGCGGUAAGGCCCUUCCGGGUACACAAGCGCCGAACGGGUGAGUGUCACGUGUGUAACCUGUACUGUUCUCUGCGAUAUGCCUGGCGAAACUAGGGUCUCAUACAGCGAUAUGACACUUCAUAGCUCGUGGUGUUGUGUAAAGAUCUGGCGGUACGGGAUGGACCCUCGGCCUAUCUCCUUGUGGGGGGGGUAAUGGGCUACCCAGGCGACUACAGGGAGCCGGCCUGAGAGGGCGACCGGGCACACUGGGACUGAGACACGGCCCCCACUCCUACGGGAGGCACCAGUGGGGAAUAUUGCGCAAUGGGCGAAAGCCUGAUGCAGCGACGCCGCGUGAGGGAUGACUGCCUUCGGGUUGUAAACCUCUUUCAGCAGGGACGAAGCGCAAGUGACGGUACCUGCAGAAGAAGGACCGGCUAACUACGUGCCAGCAGCCGCGGUAAUACGUAGGGUGCGAGCGUUGUCCGGAAUUAUUGGGCGUAAAGAGCUCGUAGGCGGUUUGUUGCGUCGGCUGUGAAAACCUACAGCUUAACUGUGGGCCUGCUUCCGAUACGGGCAGACUUGAGUUCGGCAGGGGAGACUGGAAUUCCUGGUGUAGCGGUGAAAUGCGCAGAUAUCAGGAGGAACACCGGUGGCGAAGGCGGGUCUCUGGGCCUUAUACUGACGCUGAGGAGCGAAAGCGGGGGGAGCGAACAGGAUUAAAUACCUGGGUAUCCCACGCCGAAAACUGGGGUGUGCUAGGGGGGGGGGACUUCCACGUCCUCCGUGCCGCAGCUAACGCAUUAAGCACCCCGCCUGGGGAGUACGGCCGCAAGGCUAAAACUCAAAGGAAUUGACGGGGGCCCGCACAAGCGGCGGAGCAUGUGGAUUAAUUCGAUGCAACGCGAAGAACCUUACCUGGGCUUGACAUACACCGAAAUCAUCCAGAGAUGGGGGGCCCGCAAGGGUCGUGUACAGGUGGUGCAUGGCUGUCGUCAGCUCGUGUCGUGAGAUGUUGGGUUAAGUCCCGCAACGAGCGCAACCCUCGUUCCUAUGUUGGCCAGCGCGUUAUGGGGGGGGACUCAUGGGAGACUGCCGGGGUCAACUCGGAGGAAGGUGGGGAUGACGUCCAGUCAUCAUGCCCCUUAUGUCCCGGGAUUUCACCAAUGCUAYAAUGGCCGGUACAAAGGGCUGGGGUACCAAAAGGGGGAGCGCAUCCACCAACGACGGGUCUCAGUUCGGAUCGGGGUCUGCAACCCGACCCCUUGAAGUCGCGGAAUUCGGG
rnacentral:rRNA from 1 species